AUUGAACGCUGGCGGCAGGACUAACACAUGCAAGUCGAGCGUAGCUGCGGACGGGUGAGUAAUGCCUGGGUAUAUGGCUGGUAGUGGGGGAUAACGUCCAGAAACGGGCGCUAAUACCGCUUACUAUCAGAUGAGCCUAGGUCGGAUUAGCUAGUUGUGGGUGUAAAGGCCUACCAAGGCGACGAUCCGUAACUGGUCUGAGAGGAUGAUCAGUCACACUGAAACUGAGACACGGUGCAGACUCCUACGGGAGGCAGCAGUGGGGAAUAUUGGACAAUGGGCGAAAGCCUGAUCCAGCCAUGCAGCGUGUGUGAAGAAGGUCUUCGGAUUGUAAAGCACUUUAAGUUGGGAGGCGUUACCAACAGAAGAAGCACCGGCUAACUUCGGGCCAGCAGCCGCGGUAAGAC
rnacentral:rRNA from 1 species